rnacentral:lncRNA from 1 species
CAAUAAUUAAAAAAUAUUUUUAAUAAAUACAGCACAAUAAAUUUACAUUAUACUCUCAAUAUAAUAAAAGCAAAAAAUUGAAAAACAACAUAAUAUAGUAUUGUGGUGUAGUUAUCACCAAAAUUGAUCCUCAUUUUCUCAACCUUUAUCCUCAUUAUUUCACAUAGGUAAUUAUAUUACCGCUGCACUUUCUAUUUUUUAAACCACAUUAUAAAUACACCACAUUUAAAACACAUUUUUUUUUUAUAAAUACACCACUACUAAUUUACAAAUAUAACCCUAAAUUAAGAAAAAUAUUAGAAGAGUACACCACACAACGCUCUUCAUCUUUCGAUUCUUUCCCUACCCUGUUCUCUCCCCACCAUCCGCCUCCUCCGCCGUGGUGGGUGGAGCUUGAAGACAAAGUUAGAUACUUCUAUUGAUGCCAAGAUCAAAGCUUUCAGCACUGAAAUAAUUUGUCAAGCGCUUGACUAGAAUUUCUUGCUGAUUGCUGGGAGUCUUCUCCUUCACGGUGAUGGUUUUUGUCUGGAACGUCUGGAGCUUCUUUGUCUCUAAUUGAAUUAGGGAUGAAUUGGGUUUCAUUGAUUCAUAAGCUAUGGACUGAAUGUUUUUUAACACCAGAUUCUUAUCCUCAAGUCUUAUGGGCAACCUCCAUAAUUGGGCCUAAACCCUUUGGGCCCAGUAGCCUCACUUAAGCCCGUAUAUCAAGUCUCAGCCCUUUAACAAAAGUGCCUUCUAACACUUCGUCCGAAACCCCUUUCAAAGGAGCAGCGAGCAUCUCAAACUCUCGCCGGAACUCUGCCAUUGUUCCUCGUUGUUUGAUGGCCAGAAACUUCUCACAAAGGUUCUCCUCUUACGUCGGCCGAAAUCACAGUAGCAACUGUUCCCGAAAUUGCUGCCACGACUGAAUGGCAGUCUGGCUUCGGUCCAUUGCAGCCACGACAAGGCAUCUCCGUCCAGGCUGACCGCAAUUGAUCGUAAUUUCUCCUGUUCGGACAGCCCAUUGACCUCGAAGUACCUCUCCGCUUGGAACAGCCACCCAUCUGGGUUUUCCCCACUGAAGAUGGGCAUUUCCAGCUUUCGCACCCUUCGCCAGCUAUCCUCCCCUUCCUGACUCUUACCGGCAGUUAACCGGUUUUCACUAGCCUCCCUAGAACCCUAUGAUGUCUUCCCUUUAUCUGGUGUUUGGUGGUUAUUCUGGAAUUGAUCUAUAGGUAUUGACUCCCCUAUGAUACAACCGAACCCGCCUUCUUCCUCUUUUCUGCUGACAUUUAGCUUCUGGUGGAAAAGAGUUGCAUACAUUACUGCACUUCCACUUUACACCUAUCGUAAUGAUAAACGGCUCGUCUCACCGUGACCUUAAGGUUUUUCUGAUUUUCCUCCAUCGCUUGCAUCCUUUCCCCCAUGGUUAGCAUCAUCUUGGCAAUUUGCUGGGUGGGUCCACCGACCUUUCCAGCACUGGUACUUUCAUUUUCACUUCCUCCAGAUCUCUCUCUGUGGCCUCCACCUUGCUGUCGAUCUUCUUCUGCACCAUCAGGAUCGCUGCUCUGAUACCAGUUGAUAGGAUACCAAGUUCACAUGUUGAAUAAGUGAUUAUUUGAUUGAAAGACAAACUGAUUACUAGGGUUGGGCAAAUCUCCCGAACCCGAACCGAACCCGAACCGAACCGAUCCAAACCCGACGGUUCUUGUCAAAUUAAAUACCCGAACGGGUAUCUGAAUUGAGAACCGACGGGUACGGUUCGGUUCUCGGUUCUAGACCAAGAACCGAAGAACCGAAUAAGAACCGAAUCUUUCUAAUUUUUUUUUAUAUUGAGUAAAUCAAAUUAUUUUAAUUUUAAUUUUUUCUAAAUAAAUUAACAAAUUAAUGAUUUCUAAAUCCAAAUUUUUGGCCCAAUAAUUUGUUUCAUUUCUAAUUUUUUAAUUUUUGGCCCAAUUACCCAUUUUAUUGUUU